GUACACACCGCCCGUCACACCAUGGAAGUUUGCAAUGCCCAAAGUCGGUGGCCUAACCAUUUGGAGGGAACCGCCUAAGGCAGGGCAGAUGACUGGGGUGAAGUCGUAACAAGGUAGCCGUAGGAGAACCUGCGGCUGGAUCACCUCCUUUCUAAGGAA
rnacentral:rRNA from 1 species